rnacentral:rRNA from 1 species
UACGUAGGGGGCAAGCGUUGUCCGGAUUUAUUGGGCGUAAAGAGCGUGUAGGCGGCUUGGAAGGUCAGCUGUGAAAACUCGAGGCUCAACCUCGAGACGUCGGUUGAAACCACCUGGCUAGAGUCCGGAAGAGGAGAGUGGAAUUCCCGGUGUAGCGGUGAAAUGCGCAGAUAUCGGGAAGAACACCCGUGGCGAAGGCGGCUCUCUGGGACGGUACUGACGCUGAGGUGCGAAAGCGUGGGGAGCAAACAGGG